rnacentral:lncRNA from 1 species
CCGUUAUAGAGAUUGUGAAAUUAGGCUGCAAAAAGGUUGCGGAAGAUACCGACCCACAUACAUUGUUCUCUCAUCCUUCCUGUUCAAAAAGACUGACGACCACGCCACCACGACGGCGUCACCGACGACGGCCUACUGCCACCACCGCUCGGUCCUUUACAACUUGAAAACCGAAACCCUAGGUCUGAAAAUCGGCAUCUCCGUUACGGUUACAAUAUUCGUUACGAUCUCCGUUACGGUUUCUGAUAAAAUUCGGUUUCUUCGAGUUUGAUGAACUACUACCGAUACAACCGCCGUUAGUAACCGCUAUCUGUGACUGAGGCGAGGUUUGUUGUACGGCCGUUGAGUAACUGCAACCGGAUUGUUGACGGACUUUCAGUCGCUGAUAUACGGAGAAACCGAACGAUUGACCGUCGGAUUCCGGAUUAUGACGGUUCAGAUCUAUCGACUGAGGUUGAGAUUCUUUGAAUCCGCCGGUGAGUAUAGUCAUCGGCCGGAUAAAAGUUUUCAGAUUGCUGAUUAAUGUCUAGUGGAGAGCAAGGGUGCUGAUAACGUGAAAUGAAAUAAGAAAAAUGAGAAGUGUAUAUCUUUCAUUUACCAAUCACACAUAUAUAUACAAUGAUUAGUCAAAAUGUAACUGAACAUUAAUGUAGUCAAAGUGUAACUUAAGGGGGGAAUUAGGAGGAGAAUUAAGAGGAUAAUAAAGAGGGAAUAUAUCUGUAUUUAUAACAAAUCAAUGUUUAUUGGUUCUAUACUUUU